GGAUGUGACUGUGAUCUGGCUGUGCCAUUUGGCACUCCGCUGAUUACCAGGGUUGAUUCAGCUGAUCUGGCUUGCUAGGCUGGCUUCCACUUCCUCCCUGACCACUCCAAGUGCCUUUCCCUGAAAGCUGCAUGCUUGGUUGAAGAAGAUGGGUUUCCUCGAAUAGAGAUGGACUAUUUAUUUUGGUCAAGGGUAUAUGAGUAGCUGCAGUCCCCUGUUAGAAUCUUCAUACAAGCUCUCAAGAAUACUGACUCCAAAAAAAUUGCAUACAUGUCCUUAAACCUUAUGUUCAUUAGUACAAGUAUAGGUUUACUCUGGUUCUUGGU
rnacentral:snRNA from 1 species